AGCAGCCGCGGUAAUUCCAGCUCCAAUAGCGUAUAUUAAAGUUGUUGCAGUUAAAAGCUCGUAGUUGAAUUUCGGGAUCAAUUAAUCGGUCGUGCCUCUGGUACGCACUGGUUUUAUUGGUUUCUCCCUUUUGACGGACCAGGAUGUCAUUAAUUUGGUGUCUUGGAGAAUCAGGACUGUUACUUUGAAAAAUUAGAGUGUUUAAAGCAGGCUAACGCUUGAAUACAUUAGCAUGGAAUAAUGAAAUAGGACGUUUGAUCCUAUUUGUGUUUCUAGGAUCGAC
rnacentral:misc_RNA from 1 species